GACGAGCGCUGGCGGCGUGCUUAACACAUGCAAGUCGAACGGAAAGGCCCCUUUGGGGGUACUCGAGUGGCGAACGGGUGAGUAACACGUGAGUAACCUGCCCUUGACUUCGGGAUAACUUCAGGAAACUGGGGCUAAUACCGGAUAGGAAUCCUUGCUGCAUGGUGGGGGUUGGAAAGCUUCGGCGGUUUUGGAUGGACUCGCGGCUUAUCAGCUUGUUGGUGGGGUAGUGGCUUACCAAGGCUUUGACGGGUAGCCGGCCUGAGAGGGCGACCGGCCACAUUGGGACUGAGAUACGGCCCAGACUCCUACGGGAGGCAGCAGUAGGGAAUAUUGCACAAUGGGCGGAAGCCUGAUGCAGCAACGCCGCGUGCGGGAUGACGGCCUUCGGGUUGUAAACCGCUUUCAGCAGGGGCGAAGCUUGUGGUGACGGUACCUGCAGAAGAAGCACCGGCUAACUACGUG
rnacentral:rRNA from 1 species